rnacentral:misc_RNA from 1 species
GAUGAAGAACGUAGCGAAAUGCGAUAAGUAGUGUGAAUUGCAGAAUUCAGUGAAUCAUCGAAUCUUUGAACGCACAUUGCGCCCCUUGGUAUUCCAUGGGGCAUGCCUGUUCGAGCGUCAUUUACACCCUCAAGCCUGGCUUGGUGUUGGGCGACGUCCCCUUUGGGGACGCGCCUCGAAACGCUCGGCGGCGUGGCACCGGCUUUAAGCGUAGCAGAAUCUUUCGCUUUGGAAGUCGGGGCCCCGUCUGCCGGAAGACCUACUCGCAAGGUUGACCUCGGAUCAGGCAGGGAUACCCGCUGAACUUAAGCAUAUCAAUAAGCGGAGGA